UUGCACGCUGGCGGCAUGCCUUACCCCUGCAAGUCGAACGGUAACAGGUCUUCGGAUGCUGACGAGUGGCGAACGGGUGAGUAAUACAUCGGAACGUGCCCAGACGUGGGGGAUAACGAGGCGAAAGCUUUGCUAAUACCGCAUACGAUCUAAGGAUGAAAGCAGGGGACCGCAAGGCCUUGUGCGUUUGGAGCGGCCGAUGGCAGAUUAGGUAGUUGGUGGGAUAAAAGCUUACCAAGCCGACGAUCUGUAGCUGGUCUGAGAGGACGACCAGCCACACUGGGACUGAGACACGGCCCAGACUCCUACGGGAGGCAGCAGUGGGGAAUUUUGGACAAUGGGCGAAAGCCUGAUCCAGCAAUGCCGCGUGCAGGAUGAAGGCCUUCGGGUUGUAAACUGCUUUUGUACGGAACGAAAAGGCUCUGGCUAAUACCUGGGGCACAUGACGGUACCGUAAGAAUAAGCACCGGCUAACUACGUG
rnacentral:rRNA from 1 species